rnacentral:pre_miRNA from 1 species
AAUGUACUCCCUCCGUCCGAAAAUACUUGUCAUCAAAAUGGAUAAAAGGGGAUGUAUCUAGAUACAUCCCCUUUUAUCCAUUUUGAUGACAAGUAUUUUCGGACGGAGGGAGUAUCUA